AGUCUGAUGACGUCAAAUAUGAAGAAAAGAAGGAACAAUAUGAGUGAAGCGAAUUUAAAUUAAAUUGAUGAGUUCGAAUAGUUGCUUUACACUUAUAGGAGACUCGAGUCUACGAUGUAAUGAGUUAUCAAGAACUAAGCACAUUCUUCUAAUGAUCCUUAGAGUUAAAGAUCACGAAAAAAUUUAUAGAAAAACGCAUUGAUUUAGGUGCAAUCGAGUGAAAAUAGAAGAGGAAGAAUGUGUAUAUAAAGCGUGUGUAGGUCUAUAUACUUUCUACUAAAUGUACAAAUAUUUAAAGCCACUUUCUAUAUUUUUACUUGUAUAUAGACUAAACAGUCUAAGCCUAU